rnacentral:rRNA from 1 species
GAUGAACGCUAGCUACAGGCUUAACACAUGCAAGUCGAGGGGCAGCAUUAGGUAGCAAUACUGAGAUGGCGACCGGCGCACGGGUGCGUAACGCGUAUCCAACUUUCCCGUUACUCUGGGAUAGCCUUCCGAAAGGGAGAUUAAUACCGGAUGGUGUUGAAAAUUCGCAUGUUUUUUCAACUAAAGAUUUAUCGGUAACGGAUAGGGAUGCGUGACAUUAGGUAGAUGGCGGGGUAACGGCCCACCAUGCCUGCGAUGUCUAGGGGUUCUGAGAGGAAGGUCCCCCACACUGGAACUGAGACACGGUCCAGACUCCUACGGGAGGCAGCAGUGAGGAAUAUUGGUCAAUGGUCGGAAGACUGAACCAGCCAAGUAGCGUGAAGGAUGAAGGUUCUAUGGAUUGUAAACUUCUUUUAUAUAGGAAUAAAGCCCACUACGUGUAGUGGUUUGUAUGUACUAUAUGAAUAAGCAUCGGCUAACUCCGUGCCAGCAGCCGCAGUAAUAC